rnacentral:rRNA from 1 species
CGAGAAAGCCCGCAAGGGUGAGUAAAGCGGCGCACGGGUGCGUAACACGUGGGUAAUCUGCCCUGGAGCCCGGAACAACUCGCCGAAAGGCGAGCUAAUGCCGGAUGAGACCACGGGGGCUUCGGCCCCUGAGGGAAAAGGUGGCCUCUGUACACAAGCUAUCACUUCAGGAUGAGCCCGCGGCCCAUCAGCUAGUUGGCGGGGUAAUGGCCCACCAAGGCGACGACGGGUAGCUGGUCUGAGAGGACGAUCGGCCACACUGGAACUGAGACACGGUCCAGACUCCUACGGGAGGCAGCAGUGGGGAAUCUUGCGCAAUGGGCGAAAGCCUGACGCAGCAACGCCGCGUGUGUGAUGAAGGUCUUCGGAUCGUAAAGCACUGUCGCGAGGGACG